CGGAAAUUUUGGGCUCAAUUGUGCUGGUAAGGUAAGGACUACCUGUACAUAAAUUGAAUUGUAUUGAAUUGAAUGAAUGAAUUGAAUGAAUGACAAGAUUUGCUUUUUGAGUAACUCUCAACGGUUCCAAUGAUGAAUCUAUCGAUAGGACGAGUUGCAUCCACAGUAUUUAAUUUGUUUGAAUAAUAUACUUACAGAUAGACAAGUUCACUCCAUAUACAGUUACUUGGGCUUUUUUUUUUUUAAUACAGUUCAUAUCCCAAUACAUUAAUACUUUUUUUUUCUUUAAAUUAUUUACACAGUACUUAUGUACACGGUCUUUCUAAAUUCAGUGCAUUGUCAAUAAGUUUUAUAAAAUAAUUUACAGAGCGAAUAUAGUUAAACAAUUUUAACUUAAAAGUGUUUUUCCUAUUAAAUUUAGGAAUUAAUUUAACCUUUUUUCUUAAAAAGAAAUUAAUCAUUACAACCGAUGUAACAAAGCAUGGCAGAUUAUUUAAAGACGACGCGAGUUGAUCAUGCUGUGGUUGGGGACUUAAGUGAAACCGCUUCGAAAGAAAGGAAGAGGUGAGCGAGAAGAAUCUUCAAAGAGAGAUAGAGGUUGACGUCCCCUCCCGUUUUUAAAGUAGGGGUUUUCUCCAUGCUCAGAGAGGUCAAGAAAAUGGACAUAGGGCAGGGAUAGGCAAUCUUGGCUCUUUUAUGACUCGUGGACUUCAACUCCCAGAAUUCCUGAGCCGGCAUGGCUCAGCUUGGAAACCUCUCCCUUUCUCCUCAGCAUGGCUGGCUCAGGAAUUCUGGGAGUUGAAGUCCACGAGUCAUAAAAGAGCCAAGGUUGCCGAUCCCUGACAUAGGGGAUAAUAAGUUGUUUAAAAUCUCUUCCCGCCUCCAGGAUUUGGCUACCCCACUAGGGACAUCACAGCUGAUAGGCUUCAAAUCUUGUCUUCAACAAGAUGCUGGCUUUUUUUUUUUUUUUUUUGGCAAAAGGGGAACGUUGCACUAUUAAUCACACAACCGAGAUUGGUUUUCAGUAGCUAUUCUGGAAUACACUUUCCUGAAGGCCUCAUCCACACAGUCGGGAAUUAUGGGAGCUUAUAGGAGAUUAUGGUGGCCUGUUUCUACACGACAAGCUAAGAGACACUAGGCCUUUUUUUUUCUCCUUAGAGUGAGCCACGACCUUCUGCCAUUCUUAAAGCAGAAGACCUGGGUUUGAAAUGACCCCCAUCUGCAACAUUCAUACCCGUGCGCACACUAAUGGGAGUGACAAGGUGUCCCGCUCAGCAACCACUGGAUGAUGGUUCCACGUCACUCGGGUGGGUAAGAUCCUCAGUGCAUGGCUGAGUUGCUCGGACACAAAUAGUUGGGUGUUUCAAAGCAAUCAAAAGACUGAACAACUGUCAGCGGUUGUGUUCUCCAGCAGUGUUUCGCAGCCUCGGGCGACUUGAAGAUGGGUAAACACUGUUCUAUUAGCCCACCAAAGCACGGGCUAAAAGUCUACUUAAACCCUACAAUCCUCCUCUUCUGUCUACAUUUACCAAACUCCCUAAAAGAGACCUAAUCCUCCUUUCUAACGGGGGGGGGUUUAGAGGAAUGAAGCCACAAUGCCCUGGAAUGGCCAGGAAAUGGUAUUAGGAAAAAAGGGAGUUUUGAAAAGUCUUCUGUAAACUCUGCAGUUGGAAGAAGACAGCCUGAUGCAGAAAAAAGCUAAGCCAUUUUGCUUGGGGGGAAGGAAACGAGGGAACAAUAGCACGGAAAUUAGCUAAAAGAAAUAAUGUGAAUUUUUAUUGGGUUCUCAAUAAGGGAAGGGUUGACAGGGACCGGUUCAAAGAACAGGGGAGGGCUGAGCUGAUCGUGUGUGUUCCUCUUCAAGAAGGCAGAAUAAAACCCUGCAUACAGAUAAGAAAUCUAAGCUUGUUAGGAGGCAAAUUGCUUAUUGACUUCUCUCUGCUAUAUUAAAGGUUUUAUUUUGCACAGAGAAGUCACUUCUUCAACUAGAUCCUUCUUUCCAACAUUUUAGCAGCACGAUUGGUCUCCAAAUUGGUGACAAAACUCACCUUGGCUGCUCUUUUAAAAUCUCAUUGUAUCACUAACAGCUGGUUCAAAGGCUUCCUUUAUGAAGACAUGUGGAUUUCAUCCUAACCUCUGAUUAACCUUAUUUAAUCAUCUGAUUGGGACUGGUGAGAAAUAAGGGGGUCUGAUUUAGGGCCUGGCUUAGUAAAUGCCGAUUUAGGAAGGAUUUUCCAUCAAAUUCUCAACAGAGCUGGACUGAAAACGGGAACACCGCUGCGGCUCCCUCAUUAUCCUGCUCCCUCAAUCCAUUUCCAUUUAGGAAGCUGGAAAUGGCCACCAAUUUAAUUCCUUCCUUCAUUUUAUUAUUAAAUUUAUGCAGCCACCCAUUUCACUGCUCUGACUCUGGCUGACCUACAAGAUUUAUUACAAUAGAAGGGGAAUCUCCAUCAAGAAAUGGUUAAAGUAAAGGCUACUCCCCCCCCCCCAAAAAAAACCCCACAUGCCUAAAAUGGAUUUGAAGUAUAAAUAUUCCUUCUGGAGACAAUGUUGGAUGAUCAAAGGUGCAGCCAAUUGGAUUGGCAAAACGGAUACCUCUCUGUUGCCGACAGUCAUCAUUCAGACGUGUUAUUUGGCUUUUUGAAAAAAAUGAACGGAAAGGACACACACCCAGGCAUACACUCAGCUAUCCCAAAAGCACUUGAAAUGAACUCUGGUGUGUUAUUAUUAUUAUUUUUUAAAGUGCAAAUAAAAACAAUCAUGACUAGCCCUCCAGUCAAGGAAGACCCCUCAAAAGGUCUGCCACAAAUGUAGGAUUGGUGUUAGAAGUGUUGAAGAAGGGGGCCAUUGAUCUUGCAAUCCAUCUCCAUUGUGAGGGGCAGCCACUUGGGGGUCCAAAAAAACAAGAUGAUGGCUGCCCCUGCCAUUCUGAAGCCCCAUCUCUUGCAUACAUGUGAUACAAGAUUUAAAAAAAAAGAGUAGGGCUUGGAUCAGUCACCGACACCAUCUUGAACUUUUUGACCACUACCCGCCUUCAGAGACAUCCUUGAGUAUAGCCCUGCUUUGGGUACACAUUUCUCAUCAGCCAUCACUGAUACACUGUCGGCUCAAACACACAACCAGGUUCUGUUGUCUUUGGGAUUUAAAGGCUGGGUUAAACUGCAUUAGGUUGGAUUGAAUUGAGUUGCAUUGGGUUGGGUUGGGUUAAGUUGCUUUGAGUUGGGUUGGGUUGAGUUGCAUUGGGUUGGGCUGGAUUAAGAUGCUUUGAGUUGAGUUGGGUUGAGUUGCAUUGGGUUGAACUGGAUUAGGUUGGACUGGGUUGGGUUGCAUUGGGUUGAGUUGAGUUGAGUUGCAUUAGGCUGGAUUGGGUUGGGUUGAGUUGCAUUGGGUUGGAUUGGGUUGAGAUGCAUUGGGUUGGGUUGGGUUAAGUUGCUUUGAGUUGGGUUGGGUUGAGUUGGAUUGCACUGGGUUGAGUUACAUUAGGUUGGAUUGGGUUGAAUGGCAUUGGGUUGGUUAAGUUGCUUUGACUUGGGUUGGGUUGCAUUGGGUUGAACUAGAUUAGGUUGGAUUGGGUUGGGUUGGGUUGCACUAAAUUGGGAAAUAGAUUUCUGUUUUGAUUAUCCCAGGCUCAACAAUGAUCAGAUCAAUACACUAAAAAAUCAGGAGCUAGUUUCUUUUGAAUGAAGGUUAUAAGAUGAGGAGACAGCUUAACCACAAAGAGAAAAUAUUUUCAGAACCAGGGCAGAUUUCUUACCCCAAGUACCCUCUAGUAAACGGAGAAAACACUUGGUUCCUAGAACAUCCCAAUCCAUCCAAAGUGGAGAUGAAUACAAAUAAUUAGCCCACUCACUGCCCCCAGCAACAGCCUGGAACUGUCUCAGCUUCCAGUCUUUCAGCCAUUUUAAGGACCAAAAGGCUGCUGGAGCUGCUCUGAAUCCUCUCUGAAAGCCAACAGGGUUGGAACAAUUCCACAAGGUCAAAAAAAUAGGAAACUUUAUUCUCAAGGCGACGGGAAGGGCUGCUAAUGAAUACAUCAACUGAGAAAGUGAACAGCGGGUUAAACAGGGCAAGUUUGGGGGGACUUUCCUGCAGUUUGUGCCUGCCAUCUGUGUAUGCCUCUUCUCCUUGCGGAAAUGGAAUAAAACUUCAGAAAAAGGAGGUAGAAAUUUCAUGUUGUCAGACAACACUACAAGUUUAUCAUCGGAAAUUGGAAGAGAGCUUCCACAAAAAUUAUUUCUCUCCCCAACCCCAACUCACUUCAGACGUCUCUAAGAGCAAAUUGGUAAAAGGAAAGAACAGACUACGGCUAUCCUGGCUCUUAAUUGGAUGAUCAAAAACUUUAAAUGCAUCUAGUCUUAGUUUGCUGAGGUCAAGCCAGUUUAAAGGCUGAAGGCAAAAUAAAACAAUUUAAC